rnacentral:rRNA from 1 species
CCUACGGGAGGCAGCAGUGGGGAAUUUUGGACAAUGGGCGCAAGCCUGAUCCAGCCAUGCCGCGUGCAGGAUGAAGGCCUUCGGGUUGUAAACUGCUUUUGUACGGAACGAAACGGCCUUUUCUAAUAAAGAGGGCUAAUGACGGUACCGUAAGAAUAAGCACCGGCUAACUACGUGCCAGCAGCCGCGGUAAUACGUAGGGUGCAAGCGUUAAUCGGAAUUACUGGGCGUAAAGCGUGCGCAGGCGGGGAUGUAAGACAGUUGGGAAAUCCCCGGGUCCAACCUGGGAACUGCAUCUUUGCUGGCUUGGCGGGAGGAGGGAGGAGGGGGUUGAAAUUCGGGGUGAGGAGUUGAAUGGGGAGGUAUUGGGGGGGACACCGAUGGCGAAGGCAAUCCCCUGGGCCUGUACUGACGCUCAUGCACGAAAGCGUGGGGAGCAAACAGGAUUAGAUACCCUUGUAGUC